rnacentral:pre_miRNA from 1 species
UCAAAGUUUUAGGGGUUGGUCUAGUUCAAAGUUUUAACCUAACCCCUAAAACUUUGAACUAGACCUAACCCCGUAAAACUUUGAACU